CAUCUGAUUACUGCUAUGACUUUUCUACAAACUCUUAGUGGUACCAAGCUCCACCGCUGCUUUUGCUGCUCAUGUCUUAUCUCAUAGGGAAGCUAACUUGUCAAAGGCCUGGAAAUGUAACUUAAUAAAUAACACAACACUGACUUUGUGGACAAAAUAAACUGUGUUGGACCGCUGACUGCUGUUGCCACUCAGCUGCCCUGUUCAGAAGUCAUUACUUGCACAGAAUUUCCAAUUCAAGUCACUUCAGGCCAGAGGAGCUGCACUAGACAACUUAGGACCCCUGAGACCAAUUUCAAAGGAUUAUCUGUCCAAAGAAAUUCCAUGGAAAAUGCUUCACCCAGACAAUGGCCUCCGUCUCAUACUCCUUACGACACAAGUUGUGUCUGUCAGACAGGCUGGCUCGCCGCACCACUUUUCUGUAGACACAGAUCCAACAAGAUGGCUCUGAACUCCUCAUCCUCGCACAGAUCUUAAAGGUAUAUGAAUGAAGAACAGGGUAAAUCAGCUUCCUUCACAUGAAACCGUCUGCUGUGCUUUGGAAACUCUUACAAAUGAAAAUCACAAAACCUGGAUUAUACAACUGUGUUCAUAUUGUUUUUCAAAGCAAUGCUACUCCUGUUGCCCUCUUCCAAUUUGCCAGUUUGCCAGUACUGCCAAAAAUAUGCAUGCUGACAUUAAUAAAAAAUAACAAACUGGGCUAGAGUUCCCUUCAGGAAUAUUUAAAUCCGCAUUAACUGUGUUCAACUUGCACUGACUAAACAAGCAGCAAGUGAGACGCUGCUGAGAUUUGAUGUUUUCAUAACCCCCCACCAGGUGUAUUGAUAAGUGUUGAAGGAAG